rnacentral:rRNA from 1 species
GACGAACGCUGGCGGCGUGCUUAACACAUGCAAGUCGAACGGAAAGGCCCUGCUUUUGUGGGGUGCUCGAGUGGCGAACGAGUGAGUAACACGUGAGUAACCUGCCCUUGACUUUGGGACAACUUCAGGAAACUGGGGCUAAUACCGGAUAGGAGCUCCUGCUGCAUGGUGGGGGUUGGAAAGUUUCGGCGGUUGGGGAUGGACUCGCGGCUUAUCAGCUUGUUGGUGGGGUAGUGGCUUACCAAGGCUUUGACGGGUAGCCGGCCUGAGAGGGUGACCGGCCACAUUGGGACUGAGAUACGGCCCAGACUCCUACGGGAGGCAGCAGUGGGGAAUAUUGCACAAUGGGCGGAAGCCUGAUGCAGCAACGCCGCGUGCGGGAUGACGGCCUUCGGGUUGUAAACCGCUUUCGCCCGUGACGAAGCGUGAGUGACGGUAAUGGGUAAAGAAGCACCGGCUAACUACGUG